rnacentral:rRNA from 1 species
UACGUAGGGGGCAAGCGUUGUCCGGAUUUACUGGGCGUAAAGAGCGUGUAGGCGGCCAAACAGGUCCGUUGUGAAAACUGGAGGCUCAACUUCCAGACGUCGACGGAAACCGUGUGGCUAGAGUCCGGAAGAGGAGAGUGGAAUUCCUGGUGUAGCGGUGAAAUGCGCAGAUAUCAGGAAGAACACCAAUGGCGAAAGCAGCUCUCUGGGACGGUACUGACGCUGAGACGCGAAAGCGUGGGGAGCGAACAGG